AACUUUUGACAAUGGAUCUCUUGGCUCUCGCAUCGAUGAAGAACGCAGCGAAAUGCGAUAAGUAAUAUGAAUUGCAGAAUUCAGUGAAUCAUCGAACCUUUGAACGCACCUUGCGCCCCUUGGUAUUCCGAGGGGCACGCCUGUUCGAGUGUCCUUAAAUUCUCAACCUUGCCAGCGUUUACGAGUUGGUGUAGGCUUGGAUGUGGGGGUUGCCGGCUUCUUCAGAGGUCGGCUCUCCUUAAACGCAUUAGCGGAACCUUUGUGGACCGUCUCUGGUGUGAUAAUUAUCUACGCCAUUGCCGUGAAGCAGCUUUACAUGGGGUUCAGCUCAUAACCGUCCAUUGACUUGGACAACUCUUGACAUUUUGACCUCAAAUCAGGCGGAACUACCCGCUGAACUUAAGCAUAUCAAUAAGCGGAGGCU
rnacentral:misc_RNA from 1 species